GCUUUCAAACGCCUCAGGUCUCAGCCCUUUAUUGUCCACUGCAUCCUUUUCCGCCGCCACUUUGCUGCCUGGCUUUGUUGAUAUCAGAAUCGACCCAUCACAACCCUGCCAUUUUGAAGAGCUUUCUCAAAAUCCAGAUGUGUGGCUCGAAUGCUUGUCCCAGUCUAGAAGGUGUGUGGGGGCAACUUAGAAAAUGGAGGAAAACAAAACAAAACAGAGAUGGCCAGACAUUUAUACCAUAUUUUAUCACCACAAUCGAUUCUUAAUUUAUCCAUUGAAAAAAAUCAAAUAAAUGGAAGGCUGAUAAAAGCUGAUGCAUGGAGAGCGUGACAGAAGCCCUGGAAUAAGCCAAGUCAAGCAUGAGCGAUGAACUUCAUAAAUGCAAGGCAUGUGCUAGCACAGGUACAUCACUCACUUAACUUUACCCCAUUUUUUCUACUCAUAUCAAUGUCACCCACCUGAUUUCAUUCCCCACUUUGAUGUUAAAUAAAUCUAGAGUGGCUAUUAUAUUUCUACCAUGGAAUCAUUUUGUUUGCUUUACCUUAUAUAUCCAUAAAGAUGUUCUUUCUAAAAUGUUUAUAUGAACUAAAUAUGCUUGGGUGAAUUGAAUAUGAAGGGUAGCUUUUUAAGGUUAGUAGGGGGUGAGUGCCAUGUUGUGGAAUUUUUUAGGUGGGUGAAAUAGUAGAAAUUUUAGAGGGGUGGAUAAGAAUCUCAUGAGAUUUUGUCCUUGUUUGCUUUCUAUUUUUUUUUUUGGUAUUGUUUGUAGGCUUCGAUUUCGAACGACCUAUUGUAACUAUUCCGUAGUUAUUGUUUUGCUUAGUUUGAGUCCUCUACUUCAAAAGUAGGUGCUUUUUUUGGGUUGGUUUUGUUUUGUAUUCUUUUUAUGUUUAUGCAUUCUUAAAGUCAUUGUUUGUUUAUAAAAGAAUGAACUAAAUAUAAAGGGUAAGUUAUUCAAAUAAGGAAUGUGUUUGGAUUCACUUUUUAAAUGCUUGAAAAACAUAUUUUUUUAGUGAAAAAACAAUGUCUUAAACACUUGAAAGUCUAUUUCAAAAUGUGCCAUAAUAUUAGUUGGAAGUGAGCAAAUGAUUAAGUACAUAUUGUUUCCACUCAAUGACUCCAUAUUUAACUAUUUACCUUAGCAAGUUUUAUCUUUUAAUGAGGUAAUGCUCCUAUCUAAGAAGCACAUACACAUAUAUAGAUACGACAUGAACAUGUCGGCAUGGUAUUUUUUAAAAUCUAGAUAUGACACACAAGGACAUGUUUAUUAAAAUAUUUGUUUUUAAAAAAUAUAUACAAUUUUUAUAGUAAAAGAAAAUUCAUAGUAAAUAAAUUUAUGCUUAUUUAUAUGCUUGAAAUACUUAGUUUGGUGUAUUGCAUGUUCAAAAGUUAUUAUUAUUGUUAUAUACGUGUCUUUUAGUUUACUCAAUGAGUGUUUUUAUGCAUUUGUUCUAGUAACAAAUGUUUGAGUGUUCAAAUAUUUGUGUCAAACACACUAAUCAAAUUAAAGUAUCCUAGUUUUCUUAGACUCUUGUGAAUCUUUAUUAACUGUAUUUUACUAUUUUGUAAGAAUUUAAAGCCGAUAGAAAUUUGUCCUUAGAGUCCUACUCUAAUUAUAGACUUUGGUUGAACCAUUAUUCCUUCUUGAAUUUGUUUAGUGUUUGAUACCUCCAUCGAACUUAGAAUUAAACAUUCAUAGAUAAAUAAGAACAAUGUGUCCAUUGAUUUGACAAAAAAAUUCCAUAAGUGAAAGUUAAGUUCAAAGCCUAUCCCUAAAAUUUACAAUAUCCUAUUAUUAUUAUUAUAGAAAUACAUAUACAUCAGUAAAGAAAAAAAAAGUCAACUAACAGAAACAUAAUUCAAUCCAAAGAUCAACAGAGUGAUGAUAACAAAAAUGAAAAAAAGAAGUUUGAAUUGAGAAGUUUUUAUCUUUUCCAUUGUUUUACAUUUUUGGAAUGGCUGAGAAGUGGAGAGGCAAAUUGAAACUUCAAAAAGCUUUAGGUAGGAAUUAGGACCAUUAAUUGUCUCUCUCUCUCUCUCUCUCUCACUCCUACAUUCCUCGUGGCCUUUUGAAUUGGUACCACCAAAUUUAUGGGUCUGAAAAAGUAGUCAUGAAAGCAACCCCUAAACAAAACCUGUCUUUUUCCCAGUGGCAAUGCACUUCAUGUAAUAAUACCCCAAUAAAUAACCUUUAAGUUUUUGUUGAACCCAACAAAUGAAAAUGAAAAUGAAAAUGAAACAACCCUUUUGGAUUAUUAAUGGGUAGCUGAGGGGCCACUCAGGGUUUGGCUUCAGUCAUCACCAACACAUUGAGUACACUGCACACAUCAGAAACUUAAGUACAAACUGUUGCAAUAAACAUAUUUUCAAAUUUAAAAUUCUGCAUUUUGUUUUUACUUUUCUUAACUUAGAAAAUAUGGUGUCUUAAAAAUAAGGUUGCAUCAAUAUUUGUUAGUGGCAGACAGGAUUUAAAGACAAAAUUAGAGACAAAGAAUCUGAAGGCUUUCAGAAGGAUUAGAGAUAAAUCCAAUAUUGCAUGUAUUUCACAAAAAGGAUUUUAUUAUUAUUAUUAUUUUCUGUCUUGUGUUUUUUACUCUGUAGCAUUCCACUGAAAACUAUAUGUAUGAGUUUGUUUGAUUACUUUAUGAUGCCUUUGAAGUCAGAAAUGUUUGGUUUCAAAAAUUAAAGUAUAGAAGAAGAACAUGGUGGAUGGUGGCUGAGCCAUUCAUGAGAUUCCCUCACCCAAUUAAAAUAUUUUCCCCAUCAAA